rnacentral:rRNA from 1 species
ACCUCGGAUCAGGUAGGGAUACCCGCUGAACUUAAGCAUAUCAAUAAGCGGAGGAAAAGAAACCAACAGGGAUUACCUCAGUAACGGCGAGUGAAGCGGUAACAGCUCAAAUUUGAAAGCUGGCUCUUUUAGGGUCCGCGUUGUAAUUUGUAGAAGAUGCUUCGGGUGUGGCCCCGGUCUAAGUUCCUUGGAACAGGACGUCAUAGAGGGUGAGAAUCCCGUAUGUGACUGGGUGCUUUCGCUCAUGUGAAGCUCUUUCGACGAGUCGAGUUGUUUGGGAAUGCAGCUCAAAAUGGGUGGUAAAUUUCAUCUAAAGCUAAAUAUUGGCCAGAGACCGAUAGCGCACAAGUAGAGUGAUCGAAAGAUGAAAAGCACUUUGGAAAGAGAGUUAAACAGUACGUGAAAUUGUUGAAAGGGAAGCGCUUGCAACCAGACUUGCGCGCUGAUGAUCAUCCGGGCUUCUGCCCGGUGCACUCGUCUGCGCUCAGGCCAGCAUCGGUUUCGGUGGUGGGAUAAAGGCCUUGGGAAUGUGGCUCCUCUCGGGGAGUGUUAUAGCCCUCGGUGCAAUGCCGCCAACCGGACCGAGG